AACACAACCUCAACUAAUUUUUAAAUGCUGGUAGGCAUUAAAAUAAAUAGAUAUGAAAAUGUCACUGACACAUUAUAAAUAGAAUUCUAAUUUAUGAGCACUUCCUCCCAGAGAGGAGUUUGUUUUUUGUCUUUAAAAAAUAACCGUGCCACCUGGAGUUUAUCUUCUUCUUAUAUUGUCUAGUUUGAACUCAUUUUAUUCCCUCCCUCUGACUAAUUGUUAUAUUUAGAUACCAUCGCACAGAAGACUAUGUUGAGGAGUGAUUAGGGUAUAACUUACAUAUCAGAAUGCAUGAGCUAACUAGAAAAGCAAAACUUCAGAUCAGAUUUAAUUAAGAUAGCUUACUCUGUCAGUUCAGUUUUCUGCCUAAAGCAAGGAAAAAAAAUGAAGACUAACAGCUUCUUUCAGAAACGUGAUACUCCUGGGAUAGGAAUUUAGGACUUCAUAAGCAGACCAGCUUUUACUCCUGUGAGUAGUCCUGCUGAAAUCAGCACUACUAGUUAUGUGAGUAAAUGGUACUCUACAUAAAUUAAUAAUGCACAGUAUGGCCAUAUAGAAAUCCUUGUUCUGGCACAGAUUACUAACUGUCCGUAUCAUUCAAAUAAUGGUUAAGAAAAAUGAGGGAUAUUCGUAUGAACGAUGGCUUGCGGGAUAUUCAUUUUUAGUUUUCAUAGAUGUAAAACUAAAGCUUUAGUACCAAAGUAAAUCAAGCUGUGAAUCUCUGGUUGGAGCUUGCUAAAGGGCAGUGCCUGCUACUCAUAUUGCUUUCACAUCCUUACAAGAAGAAAGGUGAUUUGUCAAUACUAGCAGCUUAGUCUGUAAACAGGUUUUUGAAAUUUCAUGUGUGAUUGUAAUCUCCAUCAAUUCACUGUUCACGCUACAGGACACCUAAAGGUUUGGGAGCAACUGAGAUCCACUUCCACAAGCAGCAGACAUGUAAAUGAUUUCAUGCAAGUUGUGGGAAGCACCUCAAGUAAAAGGAAGCAGCGUGGCUACACAGACAUAGGGGGCUGGAGAGGACUGAGGAGGUGGAUAGAGCUGUCAAUGUCACUCUUACCUGGAAAGGCUGCAAGGAACAGAGACCUUGCAGCUUUCCAGCAAGGACUCUAACUCUGGAUUUGUGUCAUUUUCCUUUUAAGUUUCAAACAUACAGGUGGCUGUACUGUGCCACAUCAGAGUUGAAUCUGGCUGCUCAUCCCCUAUUUGACAAUGGCCACUAACGAUGACAGGAGCAGUUUAGAAGCCUGAAGCAGUACAGCCACUGGAGGUUCAGAAACAUAAGCAACAUAAUUAUCUUUAAUAGCCCUUGCUGAAUUGUUCUUCCAUUAUCUUGUCUGCUGGCUUUCAGAGCGCUUGUAUGUUGUUAAAAUCCAUGAUGUCUUGUGUUUUAAUCCUCACAACUGAAAAUAGUCUGUUCCCAGCUGUUUUGCACCUUGUUUUGUGCUUUGUGGUCUGCAUUGCCUAGAGCUGGACAUAAAUCCAGUGAUUCCCAGGUCUGCAUUUGCCCUUAUUGAUCUGAUAUUGAUAUAAGAAACACUGAAAUGAUACAAACCUAAAGUCAUUGAUGUCAUUGUCAUGACAACAUGCAUUGAGAAAGGUGGUAGGUGUUUCCUGCAGAGAUGGAAUAUGAGACUUGUCAUCAGUUUCAUGUCCUCUGAUUUGGACAUGAGGGACCAUGGGGUCAUUAUGCUCAAAACCAUGGUUUAGGGGAAAGGACUAAGUUUCUUACUUCUAAAAGUUAAAAAAAAAAAAAAAAAAAAAAAAAAAGAAAUCAAGGUCUGUGGUGAGAUCAGCUGUUAAAGUCUGAAAAAUGACACAAGUCUUUCUUCAAUCCAAAAUGUAAGGUGCAGUUUUCAAAGCUAAAUACAGGUGCAGAAGCAUGGAACAACUGACCUGAGAUGAGCCUGUGUGACUGAAAGCUUGCUUUCUUGUUCCCAGUCUUUUCAUAGGUCUACUAAGAGAAUUCUACAAAUUUAACUCAUUCUAAUCCUUAGAAAUCCUUAGAUCAUUCAUUACAGACACAGCACUAUCAUUCAUCUGAGUAAGUUUGAGGUACAGACGCAGCCUAGGUACAAGUUUUAGGUACCUAGUACCUAUGUAGUCACCAGAC
rnacentral:lncRNA from 1 species